rnacentral:rRNA from 1 species
UGAACGCUAGCGGCAGGCUUAACACAUGCAAGUCGAGGGGUAUAGUUCUUCGGAACUAGAGACCGGCGCACGGGUGCGUAACGCGUAUGCAAUCUACCUUUCACAGAGGGAUAGCCCAGAGAAAUUUGGAUUAAUACCUCAUAGUAUAGUACCUUGGCAUCAAGGAACUAUUAAAGAUUUAUCGGUGAAAGAUGAGCAUGCGUCCCAUUAGCUAGUUGGUAAGGUAACGGCUUACCAAGGCUACGAUGGGUAGGGGUCCUGAGAGGGAGAUCCCCCACACUGGUACUGAGACACGGACCAGACUCCUACGGGAGGCAGCAGUGAGGAAUAUUGGUCAAUGGGCGCAAGCCUGAACCAGCCAUGCCGCGUGCAGGAUGACGGUCCUAUGGAUUGUAAACUCUUUUACAGGGGAAGAAGUUAUCUUUUUUAGGAUAUUUGACGGUACCCUAUGAAUAAGCACCGGCUAACUCCGUCCCAGCAGC